rnacentral:misc_RNA from 1 species
GAUGAAGAACGCAGCGAAAUGCGAUAAGUAAUGUGAAUUGCAGAAUCCAGUGAAUCAUCGAAUCUUUGAACGCACAUUGCGCCCGCCAGCAUUCUGGCGGGCAUGCCUGUUCGAGCGUCAUUUCAACCCUCGACCUCCCUUUGGGGAAGUCGGCGUUGGGGACCGGCAGCACACCGCCGGCCCUGAAAUGGAGUGGCGGCCCGUCCGCGGCGACCUCUGCGUAGUAAUCCAACUCGCACCGGAACCCCGACGCGGCCACGCCGUAAACACCCAACUUCUGAACGUUGACCUCGAAUCAGGUAGGACUACCCGCUGAACUUAAGCAUAUCAAUAAGCGGAGGA